ensembl:snRNA U5 U5 spliceosomal RNA
UAACUCUGGUUUCUCUUUAGAUCACAUGUAUCUUUCAUCUUUUAUUAAAGAUUUCUGUGGAGAAGAACAGUCUUGAGUCUUGACUCGAUUUUUUGAGGGUCCUGUGUUUCAUGAGACA